AGAUGCUAGGGCUUGAGCAGAUGCUAAACCACACAUUUAAAUAGGUUUCCCAAGGGACAGAGGUUGAAAACAAGGUUUGGUCAUUAGUUGGUUCUUGUGAGUUCCGAAACAGUGGACUUCUAGCAGUCGCCUUUGUGUUUUGUUUUUUAAUAAGCUUUCUUUCAAGGUGCAGGGCUCCAUCACCAGUUCUUAACUUCAACAGCAAGGUGGGAAAGAAGAGUGACAGUACCUCUGAAGGAGAAAAUGCUGAGCGCUGAGCAGCUAGCUCCUAGCCCUUCCGCAAAGGAAGAUGCAACAGGAGCAAAUAUCUAACAAAGACAGAGUCACUGACACAAAUUCCCAGUGGCUGUAAGCAGUACCCCCUCCCUCAGUGUCCUCUGACUGAAGCUGGAUGCCAUUCUGGAAGAUGUUUUUUUUCCUUCUGGAGAAGUAAAGUAAAUGGACACUCCGCUUAUGAGGUUACCACACAAUGCAGGGGAAGCAGGUAGGUAGAAACUUUACAUGCAAGAAAAUGUCAAACCU
ensembl:lncRNA